GAAACCGGGGCUAAUACCGGAUAAUACAUGAAACCGCAUGGUUUCAUGAUGAAAGACGGUUUUGCUGUCACUUAUAGAUGGACCCGCGGCGUAUUAGCUAGUUGGUAAGGUAACGGCUUACCAAGGCAACGAUACGUAGCCGACCUGAGAGGGUGAUCGGCCACACUGGAACUGAGACGCGGUCCAG
rnacentral:rRNA from 1 species